UGGGGAAUUUUGGACAAUGGGCGCAAGCCUGAUCCAGCAAUGCCGCGUGCAGGAUGAAGGCCUUCGGGUUGUAAACUGCUUUUGUACGGAACGAAAAGCCUCUCUCUAAUACAGGGGGUGAUGACGGUACCGUAAGAAUAAGCACCGGCUAACUACGUGCCAGCAGCCGCGGUAAUACGUAGGGUGCAAGCGUUAAUCGGAAUUACUGGGCGUAAAGCGUGCGCAGGCGGUUUUGUAAGACAGUGGUGAAAUCCCCGGGCUCAACCUGGGAACUGCCAUUGUGACUGCAAGGCUGGAGUGCGGCAGAGGGGGAUGGAAUUCCGCGUGUAGCAGUGAAAUGCGUAGAUAUGCGGAGGAACACCGAUGGCGAAGGCAAUCCCCUGGGCCUGCACUGACGCUCAUGCACGAAAGCGUGGGGAGCAAACAGGAUUAGAUACCCUGGUAGUCCACGCCCUAAACGAUGUCAACUGGUUGUUGGGGAUUUAUUUCUUCAGUAACGAAGCUAA
rnacentral:rRNA from 1 species